rnacentral:snRNA from 1 species
AACGCAAAGUGCAAAAUCUUGAA